rnacentral:lncRNA from 1 species
UUGUUUUUGGGUUUUAUGACUGACUCCCUCCCCAAUCACUUUACUCGGUAUCUUCCAAAUUUGGGCGUGUGUUUUCCACCGUACCUCAAAAACCCUACAUCAAAGAUGUCGGGAGCCAAUUUCUCUCAAUUUUUGGUAGGGCCGGCGCAGAGCUUCACCGGGAUUCACGUUGAAAAUAUGAACUUGGCGAGCGUAAACUUUUGGGACAGUGGUCAUGCGUAUUGGAUUAUUGUUCGUGCACAGUACGGCGAAACGCUUUUACGACUGCUUGAAAAGCUAUACCUGGAUGAUCUUGCAGAUUGCUCACACUUCGGAUGUCACAAGAGCUGUUUGGUGAUGCCACAGGUUCUAUAAAGACGGUCGAUCCACCCAUUUAUUUUCAUUGCAUCAAGCAGGAAGUGGGGCAAUACGUUGUGACCUUCCCUGGUGCAUACCACGGCUGUUAAUGUGACCAAUUUCGCAGAAGCUAUAAAUUUCUGUAUGGCUGAGUAGGAGAGUUACGAAAACAACUCCGAGUGCACAUGUCAGAAAGGAAUGAGAGCUGUUGGAGAGCAAUUCAAUUUGCCGGCAGCAGCUAUUACACCUCCCGUUCACACAAGUUGAACCUGGCGUCGCACCAGUGGACCACAUUGAUUUCGACAGUGACGGUUCUGCAAACGACGUUAUUGAUGUACACGGUCGCAGCAGGAUGUUUUAACUGAUAUAUCACACGGAAGAGCUGCUUUGACAUCUUCUUUACGGCCAGUACUCGAGCUUCUUUGGGGGUCGACUUUGCUGUCGACCUAGAAGAGGGCGAACUAGAAGCAGAGAGGUUACCUGUGGUAUACACCACUAUUGAAGACGGGCUUGGAAUGAUUAUCCUUUUUCCGGCGGACAUUCACCUGUUGGACGCGGGGCAGAAGUUGAACGACAGGUACAAUUUCCGCCAACUCCUAUAGUUAUUUUCUCCAUUUAUAACAUUUACUUUAAUUUCCUCGUCCUUUUUUAUUUUGUUUUGUGUGUGUUCUACUGUUUCAUCGUUGACGGCUGUUUGGCUUACGUGAUGCGUGUAUUUCUGAUUAUUAUGAAAAAUCCCUUUGUUUGUUCUACUCCCCCAUCCCCUAAGAACAUAUACCCAAUUACCCAUCCUUUCGGAAUAAAUGGAAAAAUACCUGCGUUAACAUUGAUGGUGGCAAAAAUGCGGACAAGGGAAAGAGACUGCUGGAAUACGACAACAUUCUCAUUCCCACAUGAGAAAAUGACCACUGGCUAUUUUUUCACGUUUUAUACGACAGAAAGUAUAAUAGGUGAGUGAGUGUUUUGGUAGGGCUAUCAAAUUUUUUAACUGUAUGUGUUUCAACUUUUUGUAUAUUGUUUAUGUCAGAGUGCUGCUGUACAUUUAUGAUUCCGAUGAGUAAACAAGUAGAAAAACAAACGCCCUGACACGUUAAAUGCAUAGCUUCAUAGUUUGGGAGAUACGUAACUAUUUUAACAAGGAAAUUGGGAAACUGUACGAGGAUGUGAGUACCAUUAAAGGUAACGGUACCUAUGCAAUUCCAGGGAUCGCAGGACUGCGGGGCAUUUACCAUCUACUUCGCUGUCAAGCUGUUGACUGUAAGUGGACACAAAUGUCACAUUUAUUUUCCCGGUGUAUUGCUUUUCAUGGGUCUCAAUGUGAAUCAACUGUUAGGUUAUCCUUUGUGUGACUGUGCACGGAAGCCAUCGAGCGUUUAAGCCGGGAAAGUAAGACCGAUAAUGAUUACGGUACCUUGGAUAGACAGUUGAUUAGACUGCUUUUACUCCAGCCGAACGGUAGGUUAUCAGUUGUCGUGUUAGUGAACGUUAAACAUUUAAGAUUUUAAAUGUAAGCUAAAAUGUUUCCUGUUAGAUGAGUCUAUAUCAACAUUGCAAGAUGUGACUAGACGACAACAGCUGGAUACUCUUGCGGUUGUCUUUAUCGUCGGCUGUGCUGUUCGACUA